CAACAUAAGAGAGAAGUAUUAAAGCAAGCAUCUUCAUUAUCUGUGCAAAUUUUUUAUUUUUUCAAAAGAAGCCCACUGAACAGUCUGGCAGCCUGCUCUACCCGUUGAGCUAAAAUUGCACAACAGAGGGAGUAUUGUGUGUUAUCUAUUAUAUAUAUUAUCAAUAUGUGUGUUAUCUUAUAUAUAUAUAUAUAUAUUCAGGAAUUCUUAAGAUGUAAGUACAUUGGUUUCUCACUCAGCUUGUACGGCAGGAAAACCAAUCAAUCCAUUCUGUGUAGUUGUCCUUGACCCCAAACACAUACAGACACAGACAGUUCUUCUUAUGAUGGAGUUAUGACAUCUCCUAAUUGGAUGACUCAAUACUCAGGGAUAAUUCAUGCAAUGCAGGUAAGGGGAGGGCAAACUCCACCAAUGAGAAUGGUUGCCACCAAACUCCACCAAUGAGAAUGAUUGCCAGUCAGAUAAAACAACUGUUCCCACUUGUUCUCUGCACCUGUUUCGUUUUCUCACGUUCACUUAUUGCAAGACAGCUCUCACACCCCUGGCAGCAUGCUUCACCCAGUGAUGGCAUGCAUUGUCUCCUGCAACACCAUCAUAACGGUGAUCGAGUGGACAUGGCUUAUGUCUGAGCUCAUGAAGGUCGGGCGGGUAGAAGAGGAUGAAGUAGCUCCAGCUCCGAUUAAAUGAUCAAGUAUAUGAGAAUUAGGCGCCCCUCAUUUGGAGGGAGUAGUUAGACUUCAGUUCUACAAUAAUUGCACAAUGCAUUGUCAGGGGAAAAUCACAAUGGGAAGACUGGAUUCUGGGUCCCAAACUUCAAGAAGAUGAUGAAGAGGGCGGCAGACAGGAGGAAGUAGACCAGAAGGAAGCAGCUGUGAUGAGGAGACACAGCUGCGCUGAGGCGAUGGAGGGGGGAGGAGAAGCGAGAGGAAGGGAUUGCUGCCUAGGUUCUAGACCUGGUCCAGACUGAGACAACGUUGACUGUCCUGGUUGUUUGAUCCAAAAUCUAAGUACCAUCCCUUGUUGUCUUAAAUAAGACCUAUGAAAGCUAUCUAGAAGUAGAUGUGAGCUGCACCACAGUAGAGUAGAGUGUUCGUUAUAUACUGUAGUUACCUCUUGUCAAGGGGUCUCGCUGUUAAUGUUUAUAACUGUGAGAAAUGUACUCCAUUGCUUUACUCACUUGUUAAGAUUGGAAAUGCCUCCCUCAGUAAAGACAAAAGCCAAGGCA